CGGCGAAGCUGGCCCGCAACUCAACUCGUCGAAAACUUAUCGUUUACUGUUUUACAUGCAUGUUCAUUGGUGUUAGUGAAAUCACGUUUGACAUAUCGUUUUGUUUACAUCCAAUGUCUUCUUGCUUUUGUAGUGCCAGAAAAUCCGUUUGCUUCGUCAACGGUUUUUUUUUUCUUUUCGAUGAAAGUGUGUUUUGCGGUUGAUGGAGGAAUCCGACGAACGGGCUCGGCUGCUGAAUGGAUCAUAUUCUAUUGUAGAAGAUUUAGUCAGCAAGCACUGCGGAACCGACCGUGUCUACGAGGGAGAAAUUUAUGAAAGUAAUGUGACAAACCUUGCUGAUGUGCCCAGGAACGGAUUACGGCAGUUCCGAAGGAGAGAAGAUCAUUGAGAAGGAUUCCAUACCGUGCGCGAGGCGGCUUCUCUGAAGAUGCUUUCAGUCCUGGGCACCCACGGUGGUGCAGAGGGCCGAAUUGAAUGAUUUCCAUCCUGGGCGAUUGCCAGUCAUCACCUUGACAUGUGGCCAGGUCCAUUUUCUGUCGACUGACUUGCUUGAUUUCGUUGUUGAGGCUGCGCCAACAUGAGCCUCUGGAUCUGCCUCCCCAGCGAUGUCCUGCUGGGUUCCAAUCUAACACUUGCUUGCAGAUUUCGUUUCCGCCCCUGCAUAGAGUGUGGCCGACCCGAAGAUAACUCCCAUAAAAUGUGAUGGCGACGUGAUUAGUGGGCGAGUCAAGAGAAUGUCUCAUCUCGAAUGGCAAAUAACUACAAGUCGAGGAUGUUGUCCCGAGGAAAACCACAGGCCUGUGCGAACGUUUUGAAGCAGUCCUAUGAUCGGUACAGCGUGGUUCGUCACACAAUCUGGAAAAAAGUUAAGAAUAGCGGUCAAGAUCUCUGAUCAAUUCACGAAACUAAUCAAGGCCAUCUGUCCAUCCAGCUAUAUACACCCCUUCUCAUAAUUUUAACCCACAACGGAUCCAUGCUGCUGCUGACCAAAUAGCUAAACUUCAGAAUCUGCCACGACAUUCUGGAACUAGUAGAAUCCCAACAAACACGUAGCCCUGUUCAAAGGUCUGCACAAGGUAGAACGCAUCACCAAAGGCGCGGUAAUGAUCGGUAGGAUCGAAGGACAGUUUCUACAGGACCGUACGUAUUACGACGGAUUCGACGGUUCCGCCGAAAACUAACAAUCCACUGGAAGUUGGAAUAGUACCGCAGGGAAACCGAAGCAUCAAACACGAGAAGAACGGGAAAUGUUUAUUUGAAGCACAUCUCGGUCAGCAUUUAAUUAUUUUUUUGGAAGCAAAAACACAGCGCCAUCACCAAGCUUGCGGGAAAAGAUAGAACUAAAAUAGUGGUACAAGUAUGCCUUGCUUUUGGUUGUUGCGGUUGUUAUUAACUUGCAAGUCGCUUGGUAGGAAUAGAGCCGCUCAGAGCUCUAAUGAGGUUUUUUACGUACAGGUAUUCUUGGUUUCGCUGAGCCUGGAAGAAGGCCAAGGAGCAUUCAGCCCCGCCGUGAUGUUCUUGUUUACGACGUCCGUAUCGUUACGUUCAUCAAAUCGUAAUUCGAUCGGAAUCCCGAUUCGUGACGAGGAAUGAGACUGUGUUAAGGAAUCGGUGCAUAUCCAUAUUGCCAACCUGUGCCAACUGUGUCCAUGGAAUUUCGGAUGACGAUUUGUCCUGACGACCUGUCCUGCUAGGGAUUUCCAGUUAGCCUAGUGAUUAAAACUAUAGAUCGCCAAUUCGGAAACGGCGGGUUGGAUUCCCGUUCCAGUCGGGAAAAUUUUCUCGACUCCCUGGGCAUAGUGUAUCAUUGUACUUGUCUCACAAUGUACAAAUUCAUGCAAUGGCAGGCAAAGGAAGCCCUUCAAUUAAUAACUGUGGAACUGCUCAAAGAACACUAAGUUGAAGCGAGGAGCGAGGCAGGCCAAGUCCCAGUGGGGACGUCGAGCCAUAAAGAAGAAGAAGAAGAAGAAGAAGAAGAUUUGUCCUGGUUGAACUAUAGACUAAUUUGCACCAUCUGAAGGAAAAAUUAGGAUCCGUUCCGAGACCUUCGAGGACGCCGGGCUCAGCUUGUAUUCUGAUCUUUCGGAUGCUCAUUAUUUUGAACGAAUGAUUCCACUGUACUAAUGGUGUGGAACUCCAAAUAAAGUUACGAUUAUGAACAUAAAGUUAGUAUUUUUUGGAUAUAUUAACAUUCAAUAAAUUUAUGUUAACCGGUGAGCGCCAUCGUCUCAUCACUGGUUAGGCGGUGAAAUUGAUCGCUCAUGAGUGAACUGAUCUUACUCGCUUCAGUAAAUGUCAUUAAGCUCUGGGUGGGUGGGCAAGAACUACACCAUUCGAAUACCAUCAGAUUCGGGCCGUUGUCAUGUAUUCUCAAAUAUCACAUAGCAAUGACCUAUGUCAUUGGCACUUCAGAAAUCACUUCAAAUGCAAAACCCCACAUGAACCGUAACUCGACUCUUUCAGCAUAGCACUCCGUUCUCAUGCAAUAAUACUUGCAUACACAUAAAUUACUUAGACUGCUGCCAAGUGCAUCACGCAACAAGCGUUGGUGCCUUAUUCGCUUAUACUUUCUCUCUCUCUCUCUCUCUCUCUCUCUCUCUCUCUCUCUCUCUCUCUCUCUCUCACCUCCCACUAGGAUAAGUAUUGUGUAGAGAACAAAUCUAUGUAUGUAGAAUUAAGUGAUUUUUAAACUUGUAGAUUGAAAUAAAGACAGUUUUUAUUUAACA